GAACAACUAAAGUCUAGAAGUAUAGACAUUAAGCCUGCUCUGCAUAAAGUAUGGUGUUUGAUUUUGAAUCCCUAGAAUCAUUGCCGGACUGAGCAUGUUGAGAUCCACGAAAACAAAACCGAAUUCUUUGUAGUGGUGGUAUGAUUGUUGUUCGUGUAGAGGUGCUGAACCUAGAUCCGGCUAGGGGCUGGUUCAAAGCCCUGAACUGGAUUGGGAUGGGUGGGUCAACAUUUUAUGGGGACAUCCUUAGGACUUGAACUAUCGGUUUCGGC
rnacentral:misc_RNA from 1 species